CGCUAGAAGGUCUUGGCAAAGAACCCCCAGAACGAGCGGACUGCUAGUCCCGCCCUCUCCCUUCUCCUUCGCACCUUUCGCCCUUUCACCCUUUCAUCUUCUUCCUCGUCGCACCAUCGCCCUUUCAUCUUCUUCCUCGUCGCACCAUCGCCCUCUCUUCUUCUGCUCCUUUGUCAGUUUCCAACCGCGUACUCUGCGUUCGCCACCAAAGGCCUCCUCAAGUGGGUGGAUAAGCACUGCGUUCGCAUCCAAAGGCCCCCCGCACCGACCGAUUCUCCAACCCCAACAGCCUAUUAAUUAGAUUCUUGAAGCAGCAGAGAAAAAAAUGGGAGUUUCAAUUGUUUUGGAAUCAUUGGUUUUGGCAUUGGAAGUCUGAAGGGAUUCUUGGUGGGUUUCCAUGUUUUCGUCAAUUCAAAGCAUGAGGAAGUGAAUGUAAAUUUUUAUUAUCUGAAGCUUUUGAUUUCUAGGUUUUUGAGAUGGUGCAAGAAUCUUUCAGUGGAAAUUAUUAUCCCUGUGUUUUUUGUUGUUAUUCAUGGUGUUUGCUCAAUCGAUUGGGUAUUUUGUGUUUAGAGAUUUUGGAUUAAGCAAAUUGGUUGAACUUGUCA